rnacentral:rRNA from 1 species
UACGGGGGGAGCAAGCGUUGUUCGGAUUUACUGGGCGUAAAGGGCGCGUAGGCGGCGCAACAAGUCACUUGUGAAAUCUCCGGGCUUAACCCGGAGCGGUCAAGUGAUACUGUCGUGCUAGAGUGCGGAAGGGGCUACUGGAAUUCUCGGUGUAGCGGUGAAAUGCGUAGAUAUCGAGAGGAACACCUGCGGCGAAGGCGGGUAGCUGGGCCGACACUGACGCUGAUGCGCGAAAGCCAGGGAGCGAAGCGGG